rnacentral:lncRNA from 1 species
GAAGGAACGAAAGGAAGGAAGGGAACGAACCAGAGAGAAACUGGUGGAGAACAGGGCUCGGAGAAUAGAAGAGAGCUGGUCUAGUCAAGCUGGGGUGGGACAGGGAGAUGUCUUAACUCACUGAGGGAGGCCAGGGAUGGAACCUUCACCUUAUGGAUACAAGUCAGAUUCGUUUCUGCUGAGUCACGACAGGAACUCUGGAAGGACCCCUUUCUAAGCACCAGCCGGGGGCCACACCAGCCAGGCUGUGUGAGUGGGAUGGAAUGCCACUUCAUGCCACUCUGAGGACAUGCUGAGCGUAUCCAGAGCAGCCCGGCUCUGCCCCAGAGCUGAGACUGGGUCCCAAUCUCUACAUUCAUAACAUAAAGUCAUGGUACAGGGACACCCUCAGCCCUGAAACCUCUUGUUCUAUGGGGUUCAGGAGGUUGAACCUGAAUGUGUGGCUGUAUUAACACAUCACAUUUUUCCUUCCAAGAAAGUAACAGCAGGACAGGUGCAGUGGGAGGGGGGCGGUGGCACCCUCAGGGCUUAGUGGGCCUGAGCCACGUGCUGGGGAGGAGGGGCCACUGUGAAGAUGGCCAUGGUCCCCUGGGGGAUGACCUGGUCCUGAGGGGAAGGUGGGGGGAGAAGGUAGGUCCCCUCAGGGUGACCUGGUGUUUGGUUUCCCCUCACAGGACAGAAAUGGGAAGAAUGUGGGAGCCAGUGGGUGUUUGAAAAGUACAAACCAAUCAGCUGAGUAACGGGAAUGUGAUGGCAACCUUGUCACUCGGUCUGAUGGUGGAUGGCCCCUCCUCCUUGGACAGUGGCCAAGGACCACCUGGCGCUGGGAGGAGGACCUGGUUGGGCAGGUCCUGGCCCAUGUCAGGAUGAGGCCUGUCCUCCCAGGCCAGGGCAGGGCGAGCGCACAACUUUCUAUGUCACAUUCAAGGCAUGAGGACCCCUCUGUGUCCUGACCCUGGGCUGCGUCAUCGCUCCCUCCAGAGAACCGUGAUGAGGCUGAGGUUCUUCCAGAGUCACCCUGCCCCCUUUCCCUCAUAGCACAGUCACCCUCUCUGGCCCCGCCUCACAGGAUUCCCUUCCAAGCACAGCGUGUCUGUGACCUUUU